GAAGCAUUCUUCGGAAUGUGGAAGAGUGGCGAACGGGUGAGGAACACGUAAGAAUCUGCCCCUCGGUCGGGGACAACUUUUGGAAACGAAAGCUAAUAUCCGAUACGCUGUGGAGUGAAAGAAUUUCGCCGAGGGAUGAUCUUGCGUCUGAUUAGCUAGUUGGUGCGGUAAUGGCGCACCAAGGCGACGAUCAGUAGCUGGUCUGAGAGGGCGACCGGCCACACUGGGACUGAGACACGGCCCAGACUCC
rnacentral:rRNA from 1 species